AUUGAACGCUGGCGGCAUGCCUUACACAUGCAAGCCGAACGGCAGCACGGGAGCAAUCCUGGUGGCGAGUGGCGAACGGGUGAGUAAAGUAUCGGAACGUGCCCAGUCGUGGGGGAUAACGUAGCGAAAGUUACGCUAAUACCGCAUACGAUCUAUGGAUGAAAGCGGGGGAUCGCAAGACCUCGCGCGAUUGGAGCGGCCGAUAUCAGAUUAGGUAGUUGGUGGGGUAAAGGCUCACCAAGCCGACGAUCUGUAGCUGGUGUGAGAGGACGACCAGCCACACUGGGACUGAGACACGGCCCAGACUCCUACGGGAGGCAGCAGUGGGGAAUUUUGGACAAUGGGCGAAAGCCUGAUCCAGCCAUGCCGCGUGCAGGAUGAAGGCCUUCGGGUUGUAAACUGCUUUUGUACGGAACGAAAAGGUUUGGCCUAAUAAGCUGAGCUCAUGACGGUACCGUAAGAAUAAGCACCGGCUAGCUACGUGCCAGCCGCCGCGGUAA
rnacentral:rRNA from 1 species